rnacentral:rRNA from 1 species
AUUGAACGCUGGCGGCAGGCUUAACACAUGCAAGUCGAGCGGGGUGAUGGUGCUUGCACUAUCACUUAGCGGCGGACGGGUGAGUAAUGCUUAGGAACCUGCCUAUUAGUGGGGGACAACAUCUCGAAAGGGAUGCUAAUACCGCAUACGUCCUACGGGAGAAAGCAGGGGAUCACUUGUGACCUUGCGCUAAUAGAUGAGCCUAAGUCGGGUUAGCUAGUUGGUGGGGUAAAGGCCUACCAAGGCGACGAUCUGUAGCGGGUCUGAGAGGAUGAUCCGCCACACUGGGACUAGGACCCGGCCAGACUCCUACGGGGGGCAGCAGUGGGGAAUAUUGGACAAUGGGGGGAACCCUGAUCCAGCCAUGCCGCGUGUGUGAAGAAGGCCUUAUGGUUGUAAAGCACUUUAAGCGAGGAGGAGGCUCUUUUGGUUAAUACCCAAGAUGAGUGGACGUUACUCGCAGAAUAAGCACCGGCUAACUCUGUGCCAGCAGCCGCCGUAA